rnacentral:rRNA from 1 species
UUUAAUGAGAGUUUGAUCCUGGCUCAGGACGAACGCUGGCGGCGUGCCUAAUACAUGCAAGUAGAACGCUGAGGUUUGGUUUUACACUAGACUGAUGAGUUGCGAACGGGUGAGUAACGCGUAGGUAACCUGCCUCAUAGCGGGGGAUAACUAUUGGAAACGAUAGCUAAUACCGCAUAAGAGUAAUUAACACAUGUUAGUUAUUUAAAAGGAGCAAUUGCUUCACUGUGAGAUGGACCUGCGUUGUAUUAGCUAGUUGGUGAGGUAAAGGCUCACCAAGGCGACGAUACAUAGCCGACCUGAGAGGGUGAUCGGCCACACUGGGACUGAGACACG